UGCAGGCAUCAGUCUCAGUCAGCACACAGCAUGAACAUGAGGGCCCUCACUCAGCUCCUGGGUCUCCUGCUGCUCUGGAUUCCAAGUACCAGAUGUGACAUCCAGAUGACCCAGUCUCCAUCCACUCUGUCUGCAUCUCCUGGAGACACAGUCACCAUCAAAUGUCAGGCCAGUCAGUAUAUUAGCAAUGAGUUAAGCUGGUACCAACAGAAACCAGGGAAAGCACAUAAACUCCUGAUCUAUGGUGCAAACAGGUUACAAUCUGGAAUUCCCUCUAGAUUUAGUGGCAGUGGACUUGGGACAGAGUUCACUCUUGCCAUCAGCAGCCUGCAGCCUGAAGACAUUGCCACUUAUUACUGUCAACAGGAUUAUGAUAACCCACCCACAGUGAUACAAGCCAUAACAUAAACCUCCAAGAAGCAGAAGUGUGAGCCUGGGCUGCCCCAGCUACUUUCCUCAUGUUUCCACUUGCAGGAUCUGUCCUAGGAACAUAGGAAUUCUGCCCAUGCUUACCUGGAACAGCAGUUCUCAAGGUCUGAAAUUU